GGUCAGAAGGUCGGAAGACAAGAAGAGAGAUGUAACACUAGACAUAUCUUCAACUCAUAGUUCAAUAACUCUAAUGCCACACAUCAUUCCUACAAGGCAUUCAGGAACAAAUGUUUGUGGAAAGGUCCUAGUUAAAAACCUACAUAUAUACACUGACUCUCACAGAUACAGAAUGGAGUGUAAAUUGAAUGGAGUUUAAAUGGGUCAAGUUAAGCAUAGUCCAAAGGCUAUGAAAGCCACUGAAGACCUGUAGUCAGCCCAUGAGUGAACGAUCAGAUCUGUGUUUUGGAAACAUCUGUCCAGUGGCAAGGAAGAAAGAUUUUUAGAAGACAAGUUCAGAAGUGAGGAUAUGAGUUAAGAAGUCAUUGCAGACAAUGUAGGCCUGAAGCAAGACCAUGGACAAUGAAGGUGGAAAGCGAUUAGGAAGAUAGCUAGGAGGUUGAAGUGAAAGGAUUCUUUAGUGAA